UCAUCCCAGUCAUUCUUGGAGUUUCAAAGUAAUCAGGUUUCCUCAUCAGAUCUUUCAGUCAGACAGAAAUUCUCAGAAAUCGUAUUGGUGAUUGUGCUACCAUGAACGCAUGGACGUCGCCAGCAUUGUCAUAUUUAAAAACCAACCAGACUUUCCUACUUCUGAUUCGCAAGAAGCUUGGAUAGCAGUGUGGCCCAAUUUAACUGCGACAAUUGGUAGCUUCAUAUAUCAUCUGUUCAUUAACAAAAUUGGUCAAAGAUUAUCCAGUGAUGAGUUACAAUGCUCACGGCGCAAUAAUUUUUUUAGGGGUCUCGGGAGAUUCGAUGUGACGUGGUCAUUUUUUAAUAUUUUAAAAUGAAAAUUGGUUUAAAAAUAGUUAGAAUGUAGUACUGAAAUAUACAGUUCAAAU